AGCGAACGCUGGCGGCAGGCUUAACACAUGCAAGUCGAGCGCCCCGCAAGGGGAGCGGCAGACGGGAGGGUAACACGUGGGAACAUACCUUUUGGUUCGGAACAACUGAGGGAAACUUCAGCUAAUACCGGAUAGGCCCUUACGGGGAAAGAUUUAUCGCCGAAAGAUUGGCCCGCGUCUGAUUAGCUAGUUGGUGAGGUAACGGCUCACCAAGGCGACGAUCAGUAGCUGGUCUGAGAGGAUGAUCAGCCUCACUGGGACUGAGACACGGCCCAGACUCCUACGGGAGGCAGCAGUGGGGAAUAUUGGACAAUGGGGGCAACCCUGAUCCAGCCAUGCCGCGUGAGUGAUGAAGGCCUUAGGGUUGUAAAGCUCUUUUGCCCGGGAAGAUAAUGACGGUACCGGGAGAAUAAGCCCCGGCUAACUUCGUG
rnacentral:rRNA from 1 species